GACGGAGGAUGCAAGUGUUAUCCGGAAUCACUGGGCGUAAAGCGUCUGUAGGUGGUUUAAUAAGUCAGUUGUUACAAAUUGAGGCUUAACCUUAAACAAGCAACAGAUACUGUUAAACUUGAGUAUAGUAGAGGUAAAAGGAAUUUCCAGUGGAGCGGUGAAAUGCGUAGAGAUUGGAAAGAACACCGAUGGCGAAGGCAUUUUACUGGGCUAUAACUGACACUCAGAGACGAAAGCUAGGGUAGCAAAUGGGAUUAGAUACCCCAGUAGUCCUAGCCGUAAACGAUGGAUACUAGAUGUUGCACGUAUCGACCCGUGCAGUAUCAAAGCUAACGCGUUAAGUAUCCCGC
rnacentral:rRNA from 1 species